rnacentral:lncRNA from 1 species
AAGAAGAACAAAGGAAGAAAAGAAAGAACAAGAACCCUAGGUGGAGAAUUUCAAGAGAAAAAGUGUGAAAAAUCAAGAAAAAUAAGUGAAAAAAGUAGGAUUUCUCAAUUUAAACUUGAAAUCUAUUUUCCUUAAGCAUUUCUCCUUAUUUUCCAUGGUUAAAUUUCAUGUUUUCAUGGUGAAUUUAUGGCUAGCCGAAUGGGUAUGGAGAGAGAAUGAUGUUGGAUUGAUUUGAUUUCAAGUUAUGUUAGUGUUUUUAGUUAGUUUAUCAUGUUCAGAAGCAAAACAACAAGAAAAGAAUUCAUUUUCCCCAUCACCCAUCAAUGGCUGAACCUACCUUGUAUUGAGUGAGGAUGAAUUUGAUUUUUUAUUUUAAGAGAAUUGGUUAGAAAAUAAUGAAUUAUGGUAUGAAAAAGUAGUAGGAAAAAUCACGGUGUUAAUGCACCAUUAUUGACCGAAAAUUCUAAGAAGAAAAGUGAAGAUGGUUUUGCCAAAUUUUAGGUUAUUUGACUUGUGUUUGGUGAAUUAAGGUAUUGGAAAAGAAAUGGAGCAAUUUGGAGCUAAAUUGGACGCGUUGGCCAAUUAAUCGGGUGAUAAGACGAAUUAGGCCAAUAUCGGGUUUAGAUGGUUACCCGUGCAUUUUGCAUUCCAUAUCAUGCAUUAGUAGUCUAAAUUAGUUUAAUUUCGAUUUAGUAACAAUGUAGUAAGUUUCUUGAUUUUGUACUAUGUCAAGGUAGUGAGUCCUCCGAUAAAGACAAGGAAAUUGCAUCCGAGGACCAGUAGUCAGAGUACUUCAAAAAUUCGCACUCUAGAUAUUGUGAGUAACCUUAUCAUCAUCUUUAUUAUCUGAAGUGAAUUUUAAUUUGUUUUUGUGAUUUUAUGGAAAAUGAGUUUAAAUGGUAAAUCUUUAUGUUUUAUAAGCAAAAUGUGAUUAAGUGAAAUGAUUUUCUAAAAUUGUCUUGAGAUUGAAAGAUGGUUUUGAAAAUGGAGUAAUUGGAGACUAAUUGCUGUGUUGUAAAUCAUGGUUCGAAUUGAAUGGCUUAUGAUAAUAUUGGCAUGAAUGGCUAAAUUGGUAUUUGUGUUGAAAUGUAUAAACUGUUGUUUGCCUUGAUAAGCUGGAUAAUGAUAAAAAUAGCCAUGUCAUGCUGUUGAAUUUUUAUUAUAUGGUGGGGUUGAGCUUGCUGCAGUGGGUGGCUUUCCGUGGAUCAGUCUAUUAGAAGGGCACGGUAAACCCCGUUAUAUCUUACCUCAGUAUGAGAAGCGCAGGUGGAUAACUCCUGAGGUUAACACUUUAGAGUUCAUUUCAUGCAAAACCAUCACGUGAGGGUGAACUCAGCCAACUCCAAGGAACGGCUAUGUUUUCAAAAUAAAAACAUAAUUUAUGCGUACAUGACUUUUUAACAGCCUUGGCGGACUCAGUUGGGAUAGCCCUCGAUCAAGGCAUCCCUGAUAACUGGGUAUGAGAAUGAUUUUGGCACGAGCCAAAGUUUUAAGAAAUUCAUAAGCCAUGUUGAUUACUCGAUUUAUAUGAAUUGCUUUUAUUUGGUUGAAACAAGUUGAAAGGUGAUGAAUUUCAGUAUGUUAAACUAUUUUAUCUGUCUCCAUUUACUCGGUUUUAGAUAUUUUAGAUGAUAUUUGUUUACUCACUAGGAUUAUAUAAUCUCACCACCCUCCUUUCCACCCAUUUCAAGCUCAAGAUAGUCUAUAGAUAGCUGAUUUCAUCGAGGACCACCAUUGGAUUUGCAUCUUCCAAAUUGUAGGUUCACAAUUUUUCUUACUUUCGGUUAUUCGAGGGCCCACUUGUUACUGUAAAUUAAAUUAAAUACUCUGGCUUACUGUAUUACGAUAUGUAUGAAUUUAUUUUACUUUUACGCUGUAAAAAUUAUUUAUGCAGUGUUCUAAAAAUAUUGUUUUAUGAGAAAAUUAAUAUUUUAUUCAAUAUUUUUAUUUUAUUCUAAUAAUCAUAAUUUCAUUUUAAAUGAAGGUUUUAGAUGUUUAAACUUAUUUUUGAUUAUGAAUUAUAUGUUUUGUACUUGUAUACUACAUUUUUAGUUAGUUUCGAAAUUUUUGAAAAAAAUGACCAAAAUACCCCUAUGUAGUUGAAAUUUCUCUUUGACUGUUUUUGAACUGAAAUUGGUUCAUAUCACUUUAAAAUAUGAUUUUAGUAACUAAUACUCACAGGGGAAGCAAGAAAACUGAUGUUAAGCCUUGCGAGAUUUCGAUUGACAUUUCGGGUAAUAAAUGUCUAUCGGGACGUUGCGGUGGUUGUCACGGGCUCGAUGGGAAUUACGGGUCGUGACAUUCAUACUCAUCAUCUUCGUUUACAGUUUCCUUCGUCUCUUCUUCUUUUCCUUCAACUCCUUCAUCUUCAUCAUUUUCUUCAUUAUGUUUGACCUCAACAAACGUAUUAACCUUUUCAUAUUCACCACUAACAAAAAUUGUAUUAUUGUCAAGGUCAGCUGAAGGAUCAUCAAAUUGUGUAUUGAAAGAAAGUUCAUCUUCUUGAUACACCCCUUCAUUAUUUGGAAUAUCAAAUGAACUCCAAGCUUUUGUUUUGAACAUUGCCACCAAUCAUGUCGAUUUCUUUUUUUUGAUGGAUAUGGAUAUAUAGUACAUCAAAUUUAUCAUUACAUAUAAUAGAUUAUAUAUAAUUUUUAUUAUUGUAAAUCAUUGAAAAU